rnacentral:lncRNA from 1 species
GAUAUCUCUCCCCUCCUCUGUCCCUCUCUUUCUCUUCCCCCGCCCUCCCCCCUUUUUUUGCUUCUGCUCUUCCCCCCCCCCGCCUUUCUCCUUUUGCAAGAAAAUAAUUUGACAGUCGAUUUGCUGACAGGGGAGGAAUUUGCAUCCUGGAUUAAAAAAAAAAAAAAGGCCGAGAGGAGCUUGGGAACGGUUGCUAGGGGUGGGUAAUGGGUGAAAAAAGGGGGGCGCCAGGGAGCGGAUAAGGAGGGUUAAAGGAGGGGGCGAGGGUGGGGAGCAAUGCAAAAGGUAAGGCCAGGUUACCGCGACUCGGCCCCGAGUGGGCUGCGGCCGGGGGAGGGGCGAGAGAUACAUAUGUAUUUCUGUCUCCCUAGCACACCCCCUUCCCUCUAAGCGAUGGCUGAGAGGCGGUGCAUGCAGAUGGGGAGUCUGCUCGUCCCCCAUCUCAUCCCCCAAGCGGAGACCGGUCUUCUUGUCGGAUUGCCCAUGCACUUGUUGCAGAAACAGCCAAGAACCAGGCCUCCUCUUCCCACCUGCUCAGCAGCAUGAGAGCAGCAUGACUGGCCGGCCGCAGGAGAAGCCCCCAGAGCCAGGCCCCCAACGCACCCAUCUGCUGCAGAGGUCAAGGUGUGAGCGGCACCUCUUCACCACGGUGGCGUUUGGUCCCUACCUCAGCCCGGGUGAGGAUGUAAACCCCCCCGCUCUGCACAUGUGUGGUACAGGCCAACAGGAACACCUGGCUCCAGCCACGGGCACGGACAUGUCAGCCGUGGAGUAGUGUGGACGCUCUCUCUCUGCUUCUCAGGGUUUCAGUCCUUUCGGGUUUGUGUCAUUGACCUGUUUUUUAUGGUUUUGUGGCUGGACGU